UCUAAACACGUGGUCACAUGUGUUUAGUGAUGGACAGUAUUUUAGAAGAUAUGCUGAGUGUAAUGGAGACACACAUUGACUUUGAGAGGCUAUUAGAAGAAUUAGGAUCAGAAGCAACCAAUCUUCUUGAUAUAUCACAAGGUUGGUUUGAUGGUUUGAAACGAGCGAUAGAUCAUCAAGCAAUGAGUCUGUCUCGGUCUCCAGAGACGUUUGGUACAUGGAUAAACUAAAGGAAACAAAUGAAGAUAAGGUGAUUGAUGGGGUAAUUAGUGUGGGUGUGGUUUUACGAGAUUUGAUGUACAUUAAUCAUCAAAAUUUAAUCCAAUU